UGGGUUUUAAAGCCUUGAUGGAUCCAUUAUUAAGACCUAAUUUUGCUAGUGCAUAUUUAUUACUAUUAGAAUUAAUAGCAGGCUUAAUAUCAACUCCGGCUUCUAUUUGGUCUUUUCAGCAAAACUUGGACAUAUUUAAUAGUUCUUUAAAUAGUUUAAGACUGGCUUUUGGCUGCUAAUCAAUUGAACUACCACCUGCCUCUCCAUUAGUAAGACAGGUAAAAGAUUGUAUAACACAACGUAGGAGAGGGGUUUUGCUUUCAGUACGUAGCCCGAUUUACAAAUUUAUGACUAUAGUCCGGGUCAAAAAUGGUGGUUUGGGACGAUGAUUAAUUAAGCGUAACCUUAUAAAGACAUCGAUGAACGAACAAGGCCGGUCUCGUAUGCUAUUCUCGUCGGGCUUUGGCGUUUUUUUUCAGCGAAAAACCAUUGUCUUUAUAAAUAUGCAUGGGGGACAUGGGGUAGUGUGAAUUAAGGACUUAAAACUGUUGCUGGCAAGAAAGAUGAACUAAGUUGUUGAUGAACUAAACUUAAAAUUAAAGAAGUUUUCUUGGGGCAGGUUUGUUGGUUGUACUUUACUUAUUUGGAGAACAACAUAUCUGGAAAACGGGUUAUGACCUAAUGCUUCUUACACGAAUUAACAUGUCUCAUUCUAAACAGGUCAAAUACCAAAUGUAUAUUUUAGGAGAGAGAGAUGUACAGAUGUGAUUAAAGCAAAAAAAGGACUAAAAAGAUGUUAACACGACUGCCGGUUUAUUAUUCGUGAACUCUCAUUAUAUACUAACAAGUAAUCAAUGAAAUAAUCAAUAAUAAUCAUAAAAUUGCCUAAAAAUGAUAAGGCGUGAGUGCCCUUUUGGGAACCAGGCGGAGGGCUACAGUACCUAGCGAGUUUCACGAGACAUCUAUCCAAUGCAUAGCAAGUAACUUGUCUCAACACUUUAAAGGUUACCGUAAAGAGCACUGAAAAACUGCGAAAAUGGUUCUGAUAUCUAAAAUGAUAUCGUGAACUUUUAUUAAAACUAGAAGUAACACCUUUGAAGUUCAAGUUUUCUCGAAAAUCCAUAAUGGGAGUGGGGUGUUCCUUUAUAUAGAAGUCAAGAACAAAAAAAGUCCCGUUAUCAACGGAAGCUGAAUGCUGGUAAGGUACAGUUCUUAAGUUCCCGCCCAGGUGAUGUUAAAAACGAUAAUCAAGAGUAUAUAUUAUUUUUUAAUUAUUAUCUCCUUGCUUUCCAACACACUAAUUAUAAAUUAACUUUUCUUAAUCCCCAUGAAAAUACUGUGAAUUUUUGUCCAUUAAAUGUGCAUAAAAAACAGAUCUCACUUCACUCACUUCACUCUCUUCCUCAAAUCUCCUCCCCUUAGAGUCCUAUUUGAGUUUUGCAAAGUGUAUGUAAUGUGAGGGUGACUUGCUCGAGAGUUUUGCAAAUCAUAAGCAAGUGAGCACGCUUUUAUUGUUGUAUAGUACUUACUCGCUCUUAGUUUCCUCGGAAGUUAAAAAUUGUAAAUUAAAUCACCAUAGUUUUCUUUAGCCUUUUAAAUUUCCUAUAAUACAUAUUUAUUUUUUUAAAAUAUACGGGUUCUCGAGACUAUCAGCCGUGAACAACUAAAGAGGAAACAGUCGCCGGAGGGGUCAGGUCUGAACUCUAAAGGGGAUGGUUUAGUUCAAUAAGGCUAUACCCACGAACUACAGCGGUAUGGGUUAACACAACAACAGUCUACACAACACCUAAGGCACAAUUUAAAAUACAAGAUACAAAAACACAAUAUACGGAAAACACAAAAACAUAAUUAGAAAAAAAAAAAUAAACCGAGAUUACAAAAAUCAUAUUGUAUAAUAUAUUAAGUAUAAAGUACACAACCAGAAAACACAUAUACAUAAAAACAAAAAUACGAAAACAAACAAGCACAAAACACUAACCCUUUAAAUUUUCACAAAAAUUGAUCCGUGAUCUAAUUAAUCCAAUCAGAAACCUGUGAAACAGCCAACACAAAUAAAAUUGGAAUCUACCUUAUUAAAUU